UGGGUGCAGGGCUGGGGGGCUCCUCUUUGCCUUGCCUCUCGGGGUAUAAAAGCUUUGGCGCAGUGGGAGGCUCCUCUGACCAGCCCCUCUGCACACUUCCCGUCUGUCCCGUCAAAACGUUUGGCAUAAAACAUGUUUGAAGUCAACAUUGUGACAUUUAAGUAUUUUUUAAGCUAAGAUUUGUCGUUUUCUGUGACGUGGACGCGUAUCGGUGACGUCAUUUUUGGCCUUAAUGGCUGCUGUCUCUCAUGUGAUAGGACAAGGACAUUUAAUGGAUAAAGUAUGGACAGAGCUGACAGGCAGGAUGGAAUAUACAGUAAGGACAAACAAGAAGAACAAGAAAAAGACAGAGACAGCCUCAUCUCGUGCUUUUUUUCUGAUUUCUGUUGUACAAACACUCUGAUCUUUCGCUCUUUACCUCAUAUUGACUUGCUCCCUGCUCUGCCGUUCUUCUUCUUUUUCUGUCUCACUCUCUCUAACCGCCUGUCUUUCAUUUAGUGCUGUCAGCAUACUGUCCAUACUUUCUCCUACUCCUGUUUUAGGUAUUGGGCGUAGCUCUGUACGUACCUUAAGAUACCAAGCUAAACGUACAAUUUUAGGGCAAUUUCAUCUGACCUGGUCACUUUCGUCCGAUAUUUUUGCUAAUCUGCUCUACUGUUUGCGCCGAGAACACUCCAGUAUUGAUGGCAACGCUCUGCAUUUCUUUUCAUCCACAUCUCUUUCUCAUCUGUCCAUCCCCCCUACCACUCUCUCUCUCUCUCUCUCUCUUCUCAUCCUCAAAUUCUCAAACGCUGAAUCAGCUGCUUGGAAACGGACGCUCCCCCUGCCUCUUGGAUCCACACACAAGCUGCCUUUCUCUGUUGUCUUCUGCCUGGAUCAGCCAAUCAGGGCCACAAAUAGUGCUGAGUAAGGGCCUACGCUAGCGCUCACGUCCGAAUGCAGAGGGAAGGAGAGAAGCCAGCACUGCAAACACACUGCAGCACACCCAGCACCUCUUCCCACAUCCUCUGCCUUAUCCGAGGGCACCUCCAAAACUCUAGCCCCAGGCUUUUGCGCAAAGCCAGGCCCAAACCACCAACAAUGGGGAAGCUAGUUGUGCUAGCGUGAUUCAUCUCUUUUCUGAGAGUUGAUGUAUAGAGAAGGAAAAAAAUGAAUAACUGCUAAAGGCCCUUGUUAAAAGUUCACAGCAAAACACACUGUUUAGUUCAAUGCAUUGCUGAAAAGUGAAUUAACUCAGUUAGUCGGCUAGCUAAUUAAAGUGUCCACAGAGGCUCUGCUGUGGCAUCCACAGUGUGUGUAUCUGAUGGGGUCAGGUCUACUAAACAACUCAAUUACCACAAAUCCUCAGUUGCUGUCUUUUAAGAGCACUCAAGGGAAGCACAGCCUCACACAUCUGUGCAGCAAACAUACUACCCAUAACCUUUUUUGUCCAUAGAGGGAGUCAAUGGUAAUUAAAACCGUUCAGUUUUAGUUUCUUGAUCAACAUUCUUUAAAAUAUAUUCUUCUGUAUUCUGCAAAAGCAAGUCACACAGGUCUGGAAUAGCACAAGUCUUAAUACAGGAUCACAGAAUUUUCAUGUUGGGGAGAACUGUCCCUUUAAUCACUUGUUUUUUUGUUUAAAGAGGAGUGUUACUUACAUGUGCAACUAGAAACACUUUUGUCUAUAUAUAGAGACAAAAAUAGAUAGACAGAAAUGAGAAGGGGAGGAAAGGGAAAGAGAUAAAGUCAUAAAAAACUGAAAUGUAUUAUUGUAACUAUGUAAUACCAUGUACGCACACAUGUUCAUCUGUCCUAAUAAGAAAAGGAAUGUGCAGAACAUACAGUCCUAGAAUAAACACAGACAUGCAGGGUCACACACAACACAUGCAUUCUUCAACCUGUACCUCAGUUAACAUGGAAGCAAAUUCAUCCAAAAAUUAGUCUUUCAAAAAACUUACAGAAUGAAAUAAUAAAAAAUAAAAAUAAAAAAUUCCAAUCAAACAUGUAGUGCCUUGCGCACAGGACCAUUUUUGUGUAAAUGUGUCUUUAAAGCUGUAAACUUUUGGUGUGACACACACAGGUGAAUGACGUAUGUAUGCAAUUACCCACUAUAAAAUAUUAAUAAUUUUUAUAGGCUUAUUAAUGCGUAUCUGGGUAAAGACAUGGUUUGGAAGCUGGAUUCUUUUUACACUCACUCAUCACUAUGCUCUUUUUUUUAUCCAAAAAUGUUACAUAGUGUAGCUUUGAGGUGCUGAGUGUAUGGACUGAAUUAAAAUCUUUUUCUUAUUACCCUUUAACUCUGUCCUCUAUGUGUGCGCUGAUCCACAGAUACAACUGAAAUGAACCCAGUGGACAAAAAGGAUAUUUAAUGUUUUACUUCUUGUCGGUUUUUAGAUGCUAAUUUAGCAUUUAGAUUUAGGCUGAUACUGGAGAUCAAAUGUUUAUUACACACAAAGGUAAAAAAUAAAUAAUAAUAGAACAAUUAUGCGGUAAAUCUGCAAUAAGGUCAUGUAUUCCCCCUGCCCUGCCUUGUGUUCUACUUCCUGUUUUCUUGCCGUCCAUCUUCCUCCACUCUUUUCUUACACUGUUUCUCAACUAACCCUAAUUUUCCUCCCACACUGAAAGCAAAAAUCUGGUUCUAAAGUCAGAAUGCAUAUGGUGUACACUAUAAAACAUGUUUAUAAUACUUUUGGUUACAAUAAUUUAUUAUUAGCACAGAAUAAAAAAUCUAAAUAUCACACAAAACAUGUUUUAUAAUGUUAAUUCGAAUUGCAAUUACAAUACUCUUGGAAAUAAUCAAGCAGCUAAAGUCCUCUGUAUAUGUAUGUGACCAUUCUGACCUUACAUACGUCACUUGUCCUCAAAUAUGAAUUGCAGAGAAGUGGAGGAAGAGCGAACGAGAGGGGAGGGAGUGCUGGAUGCUGCGUGUGUGGGUUUGCUCUGAGGUAUAACGCAAAAGCAAAGUGGAUGCAGAAAUGAUUUAACAAAUAGCCCAUCAUAAAAAAAUAUAAUGCCACUGUUUCCUUGAGCUGGAUCAAACACACACUUACACUACACAAGCUUUUUUUUCUUCAGGCUACCCAGGGAGAAAUGGCAGCUAACUUCACUAAUGGCAAAAUUAUUAGCUCAUGCUAAUUUAAAGAUCCAGGAAAGGAGCCUGAAGGGCAAACAUAAAGAACCGAACACAAUGAGCUGGCCUAAACUGCAAAGAGCUGCCUUGUAAAAGCAAAGUCUUCAGACAGAAUGAGAAAACAGACAGAGAGAGCUUAAAAGGCAUCGAGGGAGAAUGAGACAUAAAAAAGACAAAGCGAGACAAAGGAAGAGUGGAAAGUGAAGGGGGUAAAUGGAAGUUAAUUCUAGCAGUGUUUUGUCUCCUGGCUUCAUUAGCCAUAUUGACAGGCCUGUGAUGAGUUUAUUUUCUCAAGAUUGUCUGCAGCCAUCAUUUACACGGUUUCUUCUGUUAUCAGUGGCCACUACUGUUUUCCUCUCCAACCUCUUCAGUUCAUUUCCUGCCCUUUCUCUAUGAACAACGAUGCAUAUACCUCCAUUCUACAAUCGUAAACCACUGUUAUCCUGAUCCUGACUACAUUAAUUCUUGUUUGCUUGUGUUGUCUAAACUGAUACUGGUUGCACUAGUCUCUAAAGCAGUGGUGUCAAACUCACUCACGGUUCCAGGCCGGACUAAAACUCCUGUUGCAACUGGCAAUUCAGAUAUAGUGUAUGGAUAGUAGGAAAAAUAAAGUCUGAUCUACUGCUUUUCCCUACAUUAUAAACAUUCUCACAUGAUGCUAAUACAAAUUAAAAGAGAAAAAUAAGACAGAAAAACUUUUACAGCACAAUGCAAAAUUUAGAAUCACUUCCUGCAGAUUUAUAAAAAAACGUGGAUUAAAAUAAAAGGGACACUAUUAAAAAUACUCAUUUCAGCCACCUAAAUACACUUUUGUUUUUAAAGCUAAUUCUAUUUAGCUUCCAUUUAUUUCUAUUUUAGUUGUAGUUAUAUUAAGACUUUGAGAAAGGAAGUUAUUACCCCCAAUAAUUUUCUUUGCACCCAUUACGUAACUGCCGUGGGCGAGAAUGAACUGCAUUGCUCUGGGACAGCUGUGUCACCCACAGAUCCAGUUUCAGCUGAAACGUGCAAAUUUGUGCAUACGCCCGAGUGCUGUAUUCUGCACCAAAGCACAUACAAAAAACUUUAAAAUGAAGCCAUAUGCAAAUUAAAAUGUUAGAUUCUGCUGUAUCUAUACUGAAUAAAUGACUCCAUCUCUCUAAUAGCCCAGUUUAAGUUGCUUUUUUGCAUUCGUAUUGUCCAGCUGGCUGUAUUAGACACCUCCACAUCCUACAUUUGCAUGUGAAACCCCUGCUCUAUACUUUUUCUGGAGUACAAAUAUGAGUUGCUGCCUCUCAAAAACAUCAAUAAUUCAUGAUUAACUUAAAAAAUAAAAAUAAAAAAAUAACUCCACUCAACUUUCUUGUUCUUCUUCUACAGGUUCUACAGUGUCCUUCUCCGGUCCUGAGCUUGGGAUUCUGGCACACACAGACGUCUUGCCCAAAAAUGCUUUGCUAAAGCUGGUAAAAUGGAACCAAAUCAACUGUUUUAUGGAUUUGGUCCCCUUCAACCAGCUGUAGCUGUGCAUUGAUCACCCCGUAGAGCUGUGAAGAAGAAAGAGAGGUGUUCAAAAGCAUAACACACAAUAUUUGCUCUGUGUGAUGAAGUUCACAGUGCAGGACCGGCUGUUGAACGCAUGUUCCUUUAAGCACUACUAUCAUGAUUAAACACUCUUUUGUCCUUAAAGCCCAGGUGAGUACUACAAUAUAUAUAUGCCAUGUCACUUAUUAUUUAUGAGAUAUAAUUGUUGAUUAUGUAGUCAAGCCAGCUCACUAUCAUUGGAAAGAGGGCUCUGGGCUCUGGCCACCCAUUGAUUACUUGUCUCUCCAUUGAAAGAGUGUGUGUGUGGGGGGAUGGAUGUAGGGAAUGAGGGAGUGGGUCCAUGUCAAGCUGUUGAAUAAGUAAAACAGUCAUUCCUCUUCUCUUUAUUUUCCUUCUACACUUGUCGUGAUUCUUAAUGCACAUAGCUGAUCAAUAAAAGCUCAUCCUGAAGUUCA